CCUACGGGAGGCAGCAGUGGGGAAUUUUGGACAAUGGGGGCAACCCUGAUCCAGCAAUGCCGCGUGAGUGAAGAAGGCCUUCGGGUUGUAAAGCUCUUUUGUCAGGGAAGAAACGGUGCGGGCUAAUAUCUCGUGCUAAUGACGGUACCUGAAGAAUAAGCACCGGCUAACUACGUGCCAGCAGCCGCGGUAAUACGUAGGGUGCAAGCGUUAAUCGGAAUUACUGGGCGUAAAGCGUGCGCAGGCGGUUUUGUAAGACUGUCGUGAAAUCCCCGGGCUCAACCUGGGAAUGGCGAUGGUGACUGCAAGGCUAGAGUUUGGCAGAGGGGGGUAGAAUUCCACGUGUAGCAGUGAAAUGCGUAGAUAUGUGGAGGAACACCGAUGGCGAAGGCAGCCCCCUGGGUCAAAACUGACGCUCAUGCACGAAAGCGUGGGGAGCAAACAGGAUUAGAUACCCUGGUAGUCCACGCCCUAAACGAUGUCUACUAGUUGUUACGGGUUUUAAAUUAACGUUGGUAACGCGAGACUAACGUACGUGAAGUAGACCGCCGUCGGGUAGGUACGGUCGCGAAGAAGUAAACUAACGAAAGAAGUAGACGGCGUGAGACGUGCCGACGACGACGACGAGGGAGGAGG
rnacentral:rRNA from 1 species